CUCCAAUCUACAUGUUCAGAUGACUAUGCAUGCUGUUUAAAUGACAUUAAUUUUAUCAACUUUUCGAUAUUGUGCACAAAUAUAUGCACGGAUUUUAAUUUUUGUUUAAACAUUCAGAAACAAGUCAAAUCAGCACGUCGAAUACAGUAUCACACAUCAUUUUGUUGGAGAACACAAACUUUGACUAAAUGAUUAUAACUGUUCACUAUAAUGUUUCAUUUAUUCGGGCUAAAUAUGUCGAUCUUCUCUAGUGACAAGGUCGUGACGUUAGUUUCACAAAAUUAGUGAUGAUGCACAAACGGGAAACCGGUAUAUUUGUAUUGAUGUCCACGAAUGUCAAGUGUUAUUUCCCAUUUGUGUGGCACAUCGAUCGUCGCCUCAAAUAUACUGAUCAUAAUGUAGAAAUGACUACGGUUCGUAAGGUGUCGUUGCUUUAGUUGAAAAAAGUCUCGGAAUUGAGUCCCAUUGUCGAUGAGUUGUUCAUGGUAAUUAAAAAGAAAAGAUGUGCGACAGAGAAUCGAUAGAAUAGUUUACCUUCGGCAUCGUUAAGUUCCCGGUCACGUGUGUAUGAGCUACUAUGAUGUAUCGGUGAAUUAUCUUGUCGUUCAUAAUUUGUUCCCAUUGCUGACGAAUAGUUUUGAUUACGUGGCGUGAUAUCGAUCAUGUCAUCAUCCACGGACGGUAUUGAUAAUGAUGUUGUAUUUUGAAGUUUGCGAUUCCCGUUUAAUGCCUAAACAUAUGACCACAACAUAGAAUAAAAAAUAUCAACAAAAAGAGAAAUUUAAUCAUAAGUUGUAAAAUGAUUUAUUCAAUACAAUUGUUAUUUAUAAAAUAAAAUUUAAAAAAAAAUCUAGGUGAAUGACGUGAACGCAAACGAAAAAAAAAGAAUAAGAAAAAAUUAGAUGAACUGUGUGGUCGAAUGUGUUCUUACCAUUUUUUGUACUAUACUUAUUUUAAAACUUCAUUCAAGCAUUUUAAAUAUCCAAAAUGAUUCGACACCCAAAUAUCCAAAAUGAGUGAUGGCGAUGUGAUUUAUCUUAUUUUGUUUACAUCAACAGUCUUUGAGCAAAUUCACUUGUUCAGACAAAAUACAUAAUAAAAUCGUUCAGUUUGCACCACAGCAAUUUGUAAUACACAAUGUGAACCAAAAGAAUUCUGUAAAUCGAAAAAAAUUAUGAUUGCGAUUCAUACCGAUUCACCGUGGUGCCGGCGUGUUUUUAUUUCGGUAAUACAUAUACAAUCAAAAUACAUAGAUAUAAAGAGGGAGUUAUAUGGUUUGGUGCGUUCACAUUUAAAUAAACCAAAAAAAGAGAGAAAAGAAAGCGGAAUACUACUGUUAGUCACAUGACAACCGCCGAAUGUGUGCACAAAAAGAAGAGGCGAAUGAAAAAAAAAAAACAAUGAACCAAAGUUGCACGUGAACAAAAAAUACCUAUAUAUAUGUGAAGUGGGGAACUUGUGCAACCAUAUGGAAAUAUGCGUCAACAAUAUGAUCAAUGUACAUAUAUAAAACAGAAAAACCAAAAGAACUACUAAUAUAGCUAAAGAAGUG